AGAUAACUCCACAACCCUCGGUUUCCUCCACCCCUCGAUCCUGCAAGUGGAUUGCCCGCCAAACCUCAUCCAUUUCAUCUCACGCUGAUCGGCCGAAGCUUCCCGUGGAUGCUCUAUACGCAAUUUUCUAGCCCGUGCAUCACACACCACCACCUCCGUCGGUCCACCCCCUCCGUCCACACCCCAGCACCGCCGGAUCACCUCCAGAUCCCAGAUUGCAGCUCCACCCCCGGUCUCCUUGCAAGCUCUGAGGUGCUUCGAAUUUUCUUACUCCUGGUGGAUCCAGUCUCUCGUGAGCUGGAGAUCCUUCUACAGCGGCCAGCUGACCAUAUUGCCACUGACCACGGGUUGUGGUUGAAAACAACUAGCUUAUAAAAUUCAAUAGUCGAAGCCAUAACCGCGAGCCAUCCAGUAAAAUCUACAAGAUGGAAGGACGAUUUCCUUCCAGAGAUAUUACAAAUGUUCAUCCUACGACUUCACCAAAAGGGAACCAGUUAGCUGUCAUUGGAGAGCAGAGUGGUCCUUUAGCUGAAACCAAAAGUGUUAUGCAAAUGAAUUCUACCCAGCGUAAGCGUUACCGCGACCGGGAUAGAUAUCUGCAAAUGACUCCAUAUUAGAGGGAAGCCUAUUUGCGAAGGAAUCGUGAGUAUAAGAGAAUGAGGCGUGUGUGCAGUGCAAGCUGUACCAAUACAGAACCAGCAUCAGAACAGAGAAUUUCAGUAGCUAAUAAGAACACAUGCAUGACAGGAAAGGAAGUCGGGGCCAGUUCAAUCUAUGAGAAGCAUGAUUCAGUAUUUAGUCAAGUAGGGUCUUCGAAAGGCAAACAAGGUUGUGAUACAUAAUUAAUUAACAGAUAUCUACUAUCAAAAUAAGUGAGCACAUAUCAAUUUUUUAUGAUAGCCAUUGGGCUUCAGAAGUAUAUGCAAGAUACUGACAUUUUCCUGUUUUGACAUACAACAGAAACAUUUCGUCAACAUAAGUGGGCACAAACCAGUUUCCUUUUUUUUAAUGAUUACUAAUACUAAUCUGAUGCGCCUGGGCAGCAACACCAUGAGCCAGCGCACUGCACCCUCUACUAAUUUUCAGGAACUUACACAGGAGAUAAAUCAAGAAGGAAAUUUACGAACAUCAGCACAGAUGUUGUAGCUUCUACCUGCUGGUGCUACAUCAGAGUUAGCAGAAUCAGAUUCGAACUCAACAGGGGAAGUGCAAUGAUCCAGCAUCAACUGCACAUCAAACUUCAAAGUGUUCUCACUUCAUAGUUUUUCAGCAUCGAAACAAUUCUCAAGUUCCUGGUUAGCAGCAAAGGGGAUCUCGCCAUGGUGAUUCCUCGACAUAACAUCUGCAGAAGAUACAAAUAUAAGACAUGGAAAUUCACAAUGAUGACAACGAACCUACAAACUGUUAUUAAUAAGUGGCAACAUCUAAUAAUUUAGUUGCAUUGAAAGAACAUGGAAACAAUUACAGUUUAGCUCUAAGAACUUUCUUUUGUACAGAUAUUUCAAUCACCAGACUUGUUUCUGUAUGUUUGGAGCCUACAAAUCAACAAAUUUUCACACUUAAAAAAAAUUCAGAGAAGUUGAAGUACUCACGGUGCUGCUGCCUGCUGAGUACCGUAUGUUGAUGCAGUGAUGCUGGUCGGUGCUACUCGCCAGCUCAAUAGCGGAAGAGCCGUGGAGACGUGAAGUGUGCGGCCUGCCGGCGUGUGCUGUUUGCGGGCAUGGCUGUCGGAUUCAAGCGCCGCCAAGGUUGUUGAUGAUAGUUGGUCUGGGCGAGCCGAGCACUAUUGCCGGAUGUCUGGGUCGUGCGCUGCCACGGCGCCGUCGCAGUCCUCGGGUCGGUGUUCGGCGGGUCGCGGAGGCAGAGACGGGAAGAUGGGCGGCGGCGCGGUGCCGCUCCGGUCGACAGUUUUUCUUUUCUUUUUCUGAAGGGAACUCCGCUCGACAUAUUUCUUUUUUUUUGUGAAGCCCUACAUAUUGGAUAUGCAUGGUAGAAUGCAUUACAUUCCAUCUAUGUCCAAGUUAUUUAGAAAGCAUGCA